AUUGAACGCUGGCGGCAUGCCUUACACAUGCAAGUCGAACGGUAACGGGCCUUCGGGUGCCGACGAGUGGCGAACGGGUGAGUAAUGUAUCGGAACGUACCAUUGAGUGGGGGAUAACGUAGCGAAAGUUACGCUAAUACCGCAUAUUCUCUCCGGAGGAAAGCAGGGGACCGCAAGGCCUUGCGCUCUUUGAGCGGCCGAUAUCAGAUUAGCUAGUUGGUGGGGUAAAAGCUCACCAAGGCGACGAUCUGUAGCGGGUCUGAGAGGAUGAUCCGCCACACUGGAACUGAGACACGGUCCAGACUCCUACGGGGGGCAGCAGUGGGGAAUUUUGGACAAUGGGGGCAACCCUGAUCCAGCCAUGCCGCGUGAGUGAAGAAGGCCUUCGGGUUGUAAAGCUCUUUCAGCCGGGAAGAAAUCGCAUGGGCUAAUACCCCGUGCGGAUGACGGUACCGGAAUAAGAAGCACCGGCUAACUACGUGCCAGCAGCCGCCGUAA
rnacentral:rRNA from 1 species